rnacentral:rRNA from 1 species
GACGAACGCUGGCGGCAUGCCUAAUACAUGCAAGUCGAGCGAACAGAUGAAGUGCUUGCACUUCUGACGUUAGCGGCGAACGGGUGAGUAACACGUAAGGAAUCUACCUAUAAGCGGGGGAUAACAUUCGGAAACGGGUGCUAAUACCGCAUAAUAUCUUCUUCCGCAUGGAGGAAGAUUGAAAGACGGCUCUGCUGUCACUUAUAGAUGACCUUGCGGUGCAUUAGUUAGUUGGUGGGGUAACGGCCUACCAAGACGAUGAUGCAUAGCCGACCUGAGAGGGUGAUCGGCCACAUUGGGACUGAGACACGGCCCAAACUCCUACGGGAGGCAGCAGUAGGGAAUCUUCCGCAAUGGGCGAAAGCCUGACGGAGCAAUGCCGCGUGAGUGAAGAAGGCCUUCGGGUCGUAAAACUCUGUUAUAAGAGAAGAACAAAUUGUAGAGUAACUGCUACAGUCUUGACGGUAUCUUAUCAGAAAGCCACGGCUAACUACGUG